rnacentral:rRNA from 1 species
CCUACGGGUGGCAGCAGUGAGGAAUAUUGGUCAAUGGACGAAAGUCUGAACCAGCCAAGUAGCGUGAAGGAUGACUGCCCUAUGGGUUGUAAACUUCUUUUAUAUGGGAAUAAAAUGUUCCACGUGUGGGAUUUUGUAUGUACCAUAUGAAUAAGGAUCGGCUAACUCCGUGCCAGCAGCCGCGGUAAUACGGAGGAUCCGAGCGUUAUCCGGAUUUAUUGGGUUUAAAGGGAGCGUAGGUGGAUUGUUAAGUCAGUUGUGAAAGUUUGCGGCUCAACCGUAAAACUGCAGCUGAAACUGGCAGUCUUGAGUACAGGAGAGGUGUGCGGAAUUCGUGGUGUAGCGGUGAAAUGCUUAGAUAUCACGAAGAACUCCGAUUGCGAAGGCAGUUCACUGGACUGCAACUGACACUGAGGCUCGAAAGUGUGGGUAUCAAACAGGAUUAGAUACCCUAGUAGUC